AUUGAACGCUGGCGGCAGGCCUAACACAUGCAAGUCGAGCGAGCGGAGGACGGGUGAGGAAUGUAUGGGGACUGCCCGAUAGAGGGGGAUAACUACUGGAAACGGUAGCUAAUCACGCAUACUAUCGGAUAACCCAUAUGGGAUUAGCUAGUAGGGGAGGUAAUGGCUCACCUAGGCGACGAUCCCUAGCUGGUCUGAGAGGAUGAUCAGCCACACUGGGACUGAGACACGGCCCAGACUCCUACGGAGGCAGCAGUGGGGAAUAUUGCACAAUGGGCGAAAGCCUGACGCAGCCAUGCCGCGUGUAUGAAGAAGGCCUUAGGGUUGUAAAGCACUUUCAGUCGGGAGGCGUUACCGAAAGAAUAAGCCCCGGCUAACUACGUGCCAGCAGCCGCGGUAAUUC
rnacentral:rRNA from 1 species